rnacentral:rRNA from 1 species
GAUCCUAGCUCAGGACGAACGCUGGCGGCGCGCCUAACACAUGCAAGUCGAACGAGAGAUGAGGAGCUUGCUCUUCAAAUCGAGUGGCGAACGGGUGAGUAACGCGUGAGGAACCUGCCUCAAAGAGGGGGACAACAGUUGGAAACGACUGCUAAUACCGCAUAAGCCCACGGCUCGGCAUCGAGCAGGGGGAAAAGGAGCAAUCCGCUUUGAGAUGGCCUCGCGUCCGAUUAGCUAGG